UACGUAGGGGGCAAGCGUUGUCCGGAAUCAUUGGGCGUAAAGAGCGCGUAGGCGGCCCGAUAAGUCCGCUGUGAAAGUCAAGGGCUCAACCCUUGAAUGCCGGUGGAUACUGUCGGGCUAGAGUACGGAAGAGGCGAGUGGAAUUCCUGGUGUAGCGGUGAAAUGCGCAGAUAUCAGGAGGAACACCAAUUGCGAAGGCAGCUCGCUGGGACGUUACUGACGCUGAGACGCGAAAGCGUGGGGAGCAAACAGG
rnacentral:rRNA from 1 species